UACGGAGGGUGCGAGCGUUGUUCGGAUUCAUUGGGCGUAAAGAGCUCGUAGGUGGCUUUGUAAGUCGGAGGUGAAAUCCCACGGCUCAACCGUGGACACGCCUUCGAUACUGUGAAGCUUGAGGCUGGGAGAGGGAAUCGGAAUUCCUGGUGUAGCGGUGAAAUGCGUAGAUAUCAGGAGGAACACCGGUGGCGAAGGCGGAUUCCUGGACCAGUUCUGACACUGAGGAGCGAAAGCUAGGGGAGCAAACAGG
rnacentral:rRNA from 1 species